UACGUAGGGUGCAAGCGUUGUCCGGAAUUAUUGGGCGUAAAGAGCUCGUAGGCGGUUUGUCGCGUCUGCUGUGAAAACUCGAGGCUCAACCUCGAGACGCCGAUGGAAACCGUCUGGCUAGAGUCCGGAAGAGGAGAGUGGAAUUCCUGGUGUAGCGGUGAAAUGCGCAGAUAUCAGGAAGAACACCCGUGGCUAAGGCGGCUCUCUAGUACGGUACUGACGCUGAGACGCGAAAGCGUGGGGAGCGAACAGG
rnacentral:rRNA from 1 species